rnacentral:rRNA from 1 species
AGCAGCCGCGGUAAUUCCAGCUCCAAUAGCGUAUAUUAAAGUUGUUGCAGUUAAAAAGCUCGUAGUUGAAUUUCGGGACCAAUAUGUCGGUCGUGCCUCGGUACGUACCGGUGUCAUUGGUUUCUCCCUUCUGAGGAUCCUUGAUGUCAUUAAUUUGGUGUCUUGGGGAAUCAGGACUGUUACCUUGAAAAAAUUAGAGUGUUUAAAGCAGGCAUGCGCUUGAAUACAUUAGCAUGGAAUAAUGAAAUAGGACGUUCGAUUCUAUUUUGUUGGUUUCUAGGAUCGACGUAAUGAUUAAUAGGGAUAGUUGGGGGCAUUAGUAUUCAAUUGUCAGAGGUGAAAUUCUUGGAUUUAUUGAAGACUAACUACUGCGAAAGCAUUUGCCAAGGAUGUUUUCAUUAAUCAAGAACGAAGUUAGGGAUCGAAGCGAUCAGAUACCGUGUAGUCUUAACCAUAAACUAUGCCGACUAGGGAUCGGGAUGAUUAGUUAAUUUUUAANGUACUCAGUUCGGCGUUACCG